rnacentral:rRNA from 1 species
GACCGGCGCACGGGUGCGUAACACGUAUGCAACCUACCCAUAAGCGGGGAAUAACCCGGAGAAAUUCGGACUAAUACCGCAUGGUACGCAAGAGAGGCAUCUUUCUUGUUUUAAAGAUUUAUCACUUAUGGAUGGGCAUGCGCAUGAUUAGAUAGUAGGCGGGGUAACGGCCCACCUAGUCAACGAUCAUUAGGGGUUCUGAGAGGAAGGUCCCCCACACUGGUACUGAGACACGGACCAGACUCCUACGGGAGGCAGCAGUGAGGAAUAUUGGUCAAUGGGCGAGAGCCUGAACCAGCCAAGUCGCGUGAAGGAAGAAGGAUCUAUGGUUCGUAAACUUCUUUUAUAUGGGAAUAAAGUGUAGGACGAGUCCUAUUUUGUAAGUACCAUAUGAAUAAGCAUCGGCUAACUCCGUGCCAGCAGCCGCGGUAAUACGGAGGAUGCGAGCGUUAUCCGGAUUUAUUGGGUUUAAAGGGUGCGUAGGCGGACUUUUAAGUCAGUGGUAAAAUCUUGCAGCUCAACUGUAAGUAGCCAUCGAAACUGGAGGUCUUGAGUGUAAAUGAGGUAGGCGGAAUGUGUUGUGUAGCGGUGAAAUGCUUAGAUAUGACACAGAACACCAAUUGCGAAGGCAGCUUACUAAGAUACAACUGACGCUGUGGCACGAAAGCGUGGGGAUCGAACAGGAUUAGAU